GAGUUUGAUUCUGGCUCAGGAUGAACGCUGGCGGCAUGCCUAACACAUGCAAGUUGAACGAGAAGUUUUGGAGGGAGUCUUCGGACGAACGAAGGAAUGGAAAGUAGCGAACGGGUGAGUAACGCGUGGGCAACCAACCUUACACAGGGGGAUAACACAGAGAAAUCUGUGCUAAUACCGCAUAAGCGCACAGUACUGCAUAGUACAGUGUGAAAAACUCCGGUGGUGUAAGACGGGCCCGCGUCUGAUUAGCUAGUUGGUAGGGUAAAAGCCUACCAAGGCAACGAUCAGUAGCCGACCUGAGAGGGUGAUCGGCCACAUUGGGACUGAGACACGGCCCAAACUCCUACGGGAGGCAGCAGUGGGGGAUAUUGCACAAUGGAGGAAACUCUGAUGCAGCAAUGCCGCGUGAAGGAAGAAGGUCUUCGGAUUGUAAACUUCUAUCAGCAGGGAAGAAAAUGACGG
rnacentral:rRNA from 1 species